AACAGCUGUCAAACAUUUACCAGUAUAUCACCAGAGAUGACUAAGACCCAUCCCUCUUUCAGGGGUGCCACGAUCUAGCUGGGGUGAUGGGUGCACAGACUAGUCAUAUACUAUAAAGUACAGGGACAUAGGGGCACCAAGAGAGGCAUGAUCAAAUAACGAUGGAGUAGAAAGGGGCACCAGAGAAAGCUUCAUGGUUGGCCCAGGAGGUCAGGCAGGACACUGACAAACAAAAAUGAUGGGAGGAGAAUGAGAUGCAGGUUGAGAGAAUGGAAUAAGCAGGGGUUCAGUGACCAAAUAAAGGUCCAGUGUAGCAGGGAGUGGUAGACAAGGAGGUUGGGUAGGAGGACUGUAGAAGGCCUGGGUCUUAGCUGGACUCUGUGGGCAAUGAGAAGAGAAGCCACUCAAGAUUUGGGUUAAGGGCCACAUUGGUUUGCCUGGACUGCUCCUCCAGAAAUGCUGAUGUGUUAAGACUCAGGCUAAGUCCUCACAUGCUGUGAUGUCCACUUGCUUUGAGAUACAGUACUACAUCAGGGUAGAGUUAAGUCAUAACAUUCUCAGCUUAACUGCAGAAGAACUCAAUGCUGCAAGGAAGACAACAUGAAAUGGGAGCUUUCAUCUUAAGAUCAUGAAGCCUAGAAAUGACAAGGAUCCAGAAAAUUUUAUGCAUAGCCAUGGCACACUGAUGCAAAGAAUGCCCAUGUCAAGCCCAGAUGUAAUGAAGCAACAGCUCGAUGGGAACCUAGAGAGAGAGCAUCCAGUGAUCCCAUCUGUGAGCAGUACGGUCCCUGGAGAAUCCUUAAAGCAUUCCGAUUUAAACACUCAGGGAAUCUCCAUGGGUUUCUCUUCAAUUCCACAGAGUUCCUUUGCAUCUAGAGAUAUUCCUAAAUAUUUCAAAGGGCUGGGCUAGAUGUGAACCAAGUCUACCAAAGUGAUGACUCCGAUGGCCAUGUCAUAACCAGUGACUUCCAUGAAAGUUCUUGUCUAUGUCAUUUCUCUCUAGUGGAUGCCUAUGUUGGCCCAAGAGACACGUACUCUCCACCACAUAAAGUUUAAUAGUUCCAGUACAUAUGUCUUCAAUAAUUACAAAAUGGGGUUCCUCCCUUCAAAGUGGAUAAUGUGAUGCCCAGGAAGAUUUUGUGACUUAGGAGCAAGUCAGUAGGAAGAAAGAAGGCUUGGCAGAGGUGAGCCUAGAAGAGGAACUGAGGACAUGAUGGGACCCAACAGCAAUGCUGUUUCAGAUGUUAUUCUUCUCUGCUUUGCCACUGUCUUAUUUAAUAGAAUUUGCUCAUUCAAGAGACUUUUAUGGGCCUCAUGGAGUUAGUGAAGGAAACAGACACAUAAACUGCCAACCAUCAUUAAGUAGAAUGAAACAAACACCAUGGAAGAUGAUCAGGACAAAGCCAGGGGAUCCCUUCACUGAAGGAGGGUUGACAGAAGAUGGUCACAUGUCUGGAUAUGGUACAUGUUUGAAAGAUGGAAAGAGAGAGGCAAGCAGGACCAGCUGGGGCUGAAGAAAUGCUUGAGAAGAAAGGCACAGAGGACUGGAGAGGGCAUGGUGUUUUGGAGCAGAGCAAACCUUCCAGUAUAGAAUGCACGGAAAAAUGGAAGAGAAGUCAGACUAGGAAGGCAGGCUGGGAGCAGAUCAAAUAAGUUUUGGACAAAAAAGUUUGCAAUUUUAAUUAAGACAAAGACAUUAAAAAAAGAACAAAACACAAGAUUCAACCCAACACCUAAAAUAAAGAACCUGGAAAACGUAGAAGAAUAUGAG